rnacentral:lncRNA from 1 species
AUGGAGCAGGGCCGCAAGCAGAGGUGCAGUGAGAUUACCCGCAGCAGCCCAGAGCCUCUGAGGAUGAGACGUCCACAUGCGGCGUCUUCAAAAAGUUCACGGAACUGCAUGUUAAAGAACCAUGCAUGGAUCUCAAAAUGCCGUGGCAACAGAGAAAUGUAUCUUUUAAUUCCAUUUUCCACAACGAAGCCUCUGAAGGAGGUUCGUGGGUUUGCUAUCAGGUCGCGUAUCUGCCAUCGCUCUGAGGAGCUCUACAAAGUGUGGACAGCAGGACGUGAGUGCACAAAGUGUGGACAGCAGGACGUGAGUGCACAGAGUGUGGACAGCAGGACGCGAGUGCACAGAGUGUGGACAGCAGGACGCGAGUGCACAGAGUGUGGACAGCAGGACGUGAGUGCACAGAGUGUGGCAGCAGGACGUGAGUGCACAGAGUGUGGACAGCAGGACGCGAGUGCACAGAGUGUGGGCAGCAGGACGCGAGUGCACAGAGUGUGUGCAGCAGGACGCGAGUGCACAGAGUGUGGACAGCAGGACGUGAGUGCACAGAGUGUGGACAGCAGGACAUGAGUGCAUAGAGUGUGGGCAGCAGGACGCGAGUGCACAGAGUGUGGACAGCAGGACACGAGUGCAUAAAGUGUGGGCAGCAGGACGUGAGUGCAUAGUUCUUUAUAAAUACGAAGUCCAUAUGUGUCAGUGUUUAGAAAAAUAGACAUUGCUGGAAACAGCUUCUUUGGAUGAAACAC